rnacentral:rRNA from 1 species
AGUGAACGCUGGCGGCGUGCUUAACACAUGCAAGUCGAACGAGAACGGAUUAUAGCUUGCUAUAAUUGUCAGCUAAGUGGCGCACGGGUGAGUAAUGUAUAGGUAAUAUGCCUUUUACUAAGGAAUAACAAAUGGAAACGUUUGCUAAUACCUUAUACUCCUUAUUAACCUAAGUUAAUAAGGGAAAGAUUUAUUGGUAAGAGAUUAGCCUGUAUUGUAUCAGUUAGUUGGUGGGGUAAUGGCUUACCAAGACUAUGACACAUAACUGGUUUGAGAGGAGGAUCAGUAACACUGGAACUGAGACACGGUCCAGACUCCUACGGGAGGCAGCAGUGGGGAAUAUUGCACAAUGGACGGAAGUCUGAUGCAGCAACGCCGCGUGGAGGAUGACACAUUUCGGUGCGUAAACUCCUUUUAUAUGAGAAGAUAAUGACGGUAUUAUAUGAAUAAGCACCGGCUAACUCCGUGCCAGCAGCCGCCGUAA